rnacentral:rRNA from 1 species
CGACCGCUGGCGGCGUGCUUAACACAUGCAAAUCGAACGGAAAGGCCCUGCUUUUGUGGGGUGCUCGAGUGGCGAACGGGUGAGUAACACGUGAGUAACCUGCCCUUGACUUUGGGAUAACUUCAGGAAACUGGGGCUAAUACCGGAUAGGAGCUCCUGCUGCAUGGUGGGGGUUGGAAAGUUUCGGCGGUUGGGGAUGGACUCGCGGCUUAUCAGCUUGUUGGUGGGGUAGUGGCUACCAAGGCUUUGACGGGUAGCCGGCCUGAGAGGGUGACCGGCCACAUUGGGACUGAGAUACGGCCCAGACUCCUACGGGAGGCAGCAGUGGGGAAUAUUGCACAAUGGGCGGAAGCCUGAUGCAGCAACGCCGCGUGCGGGAUGACGGCCUUCGGGUUGUAAACCGCUUUCGCCUGUGACGAAGCGUGAGUGACGGUAAUGGGUAAAGAAGCACCGGCUAACUACGUG